rnacentral:lncRNA from 1 species
GUUGUGUGUUGUUUUUUUAGAAAGUUUUCAAAAUACAAUAAGACAUCAAUUAUAAUGAUUUGUGUUUUUUCUAUAUUUUUGGAUAUAUUUUUAUUUUCCUAGAAGUAAAUCUAUUUUUGGAAGCUGCUAAAUAUACGAGCGAGUUUUUUUUUUUUUUGAAAUUGUUGCAUUUAAAUUUAUGCCUAGGUUCGAAAAAACGCUUCUUUGUUUCAGGGUUAAGACGCUUCCUUCUAGAACAAAGCAAUGUGAAACAUGGUCUAUGGUAGAUAUAUCCACGAGUGGUGUCAAAGAGAGCACGAGCAAAUGAGGCCAUUUAAUCCUAAAAGAAGCCAGACUAGUAGAGAUGUACCCCAUCCAUCCCAAAUCAUAAAGUCAUUCCAACUAUCUUAGAGAGUCAAAUCAUCUCAAGUUUGUUCAAAAUUAUAGAGAUAAUUACAAGGAUUUAUGACAUUUUGUAUUAUAAAAAUAUAACUAAUAAAAAAUCUAAUAAUACUAUAAAUGUUAUUAUUUUAUUAUAUAAAUUUGAUCAGACUUGAAAUGCUUUGACGACUCUUGAGAAAGUUAUAUGACUUAGGGAUCCUUUGGAUUACAUGAUUUUUGAAGGAAAAAUAUUGGGGUGUACUGUUUAGUGAAGGAAAGUUUCCUAUCCUAUGGUUUGGAAGCACUACUAUUCCAUAGGAUUUCCUAUGCUAUGUGUAGAUUCCAUAGGAUUUGUAACAUCCACUCAUACCUCUUGGAAAAAUUCAUAUGCACCAAAUAUGAGGAGUUGAAUGCUGAUGCUAGUAACCAAUGGUCAAUUAUGGCUUGUUCUACCCAAACCCAAAGAGAGCAAACACAUGCAUUUGGUGUUAUUUUUAUUCAAUCUUGAUAUUUCUGCAAAAUGAAUCAUCACUUCUAUGUUUUACAUCCUUUGUUUUGCACAUGCAGCCCUAUAUUAUUUAUAUAUUUUUUCUAUUCCUAUAUUUUUUAAAUCCUACCUUCGAAAGGAGCCCUUAGAAUUUGGAACGAGGAGGUAUAUAGAAGGCGGUGCAUUAUUGACAUUGACACCACUCCACGCGUUGGUGAUUACGGUGUUUGGAUUCCUAUGGCUAAACUUUAGUCCAUGUCAUAACGGAUAUUUAGACACUAACUAGGUGUAUUAAAUUAAAAAUAGACUAAUUACAUAAAUGAAAACUAAUUCACAAGACGAGUCUAUUAAGUACAAAUAAUUCGUGAUUAGCCCAUAUGAUGCUACAACAAACAUGUGCUAAUCAUGACUUAAUUAGACUUAGGCCUUGUUUAGAUCCAAAAACUUUUUGGAUUUUGAUACUGUAGCAUUUUCGUUUUUAUUUGACAAACAUUAUCCAAUCAUGGAGCAACUAGGCUUAAAAGAUUUGUCUCGUGAUUUACAAGUAAACUGUGCAAUUAGUUAUCUUUUUUAUCUACAUUUAAUAUUCCAUGCAUUUGCCGCAAGAUUCGAUGUGAUGGGGAAUCUUGUAAAGUUUUGGGUUUUUGGGUGUAUCUAAACAAGGCCUUAAUAGAUUCAUCUCAUGAAUUAGUCUUGGUUUGCGUAAUUAGUUUUAUAAUUAGCUCACAUUUACUUCUCUCAAUUGUUAUCUAAACAUCCGAGUAAAGUUUAGGCCUUGUUUAGUUCACCUCAAAAACCAAAAACUUUUCAAGAUUUUCCAUCACAUCGAAUCUUGCGGCAUAUGCAUGGAGCAUAAAAUAUAGAUAAAAACAAAAACUAAUUGCACAGUUUAUUUGUAAAUCGUGAGACGGAUCUUUUAAGCCUAGUUACUAUAUGAUUAGACAAUGUUUGUCAAAUAAAAACAAAGUGCUACAGUGUCGAAAUUCAAAAAAAAUUGGAUGUAAACAAGGCCUUAGCACUUGCUAGGAAGGAAAGUGCUUGCCUGGCAGUAUGUUGAUCGUAAAUUAGGUGAUGGUCAGACACUGAGAAAACAGGUACUCGUAAUUCUAGAACCGAGAACCACGCGUGAUUGGCAAAGGCAGCCGGCGCAGGCACGCUAGCUGGGAACGCCGAAUAUGCGGCUUGCUUGUUGGGACGACCGGUGGCCGCCGCACCUUUGAUCCAUCUGCAUAUCUCAUCAGGCAUCUCGAUCGAUCGGCACAGUAUAUUCGGCCUAUCGUCAUCCAUCUGACAUUUUGACUAUCUCAUCCCACAUGUAAUGUCUGCGAUUGUCAUCGAGUAUUCCAAAUUAAUAAUCCUGUCAUUCGGCGACAAUCGGGCCGGGUGAUUAUUAUUAUGCACGUAGUCGAUCGAUCUAAUAUAUGAUAGAAUUACGAGAGAACAAGGCAUCUGUUGUGGAGAUAUACAUAUAUAUAGCUAAUAUAUAUAACUUCAUCGCCAUGUCCGCCAUGCGUCGUUGUCAUCAUCAUCCUCCUCCUCCUCCUUGAUUACUCUUGCUCCACUUACUCGUGCUAGCAAGCUCGUACAUGAUUGAUGAGCUACAGUUGCUGUGUGUAGUAGUAGUAGUUUUAGAGUUAUCAUGGAGCUGUUCGCUGAUCUGGAAAAUAAAUUAUUGUUGACUGAUUUAUUGUAAGAGAAAAACACUGUUCGCUGAUAGAAAAAAGUACGGCUGAAAAGAAAAGAGAACAGGCUUUCACAAAUUAUUAGUAGUUCUCAAUCAUAUAGCCAGCGGAAAAAGACACACAAGACACUAGUAUAAUACUAGAAUAUACGCAAUUAUUAUAUAUACUAUGUAUGUAUGUAUGUAUGUAUGUACGGAGCUUGCAUUGAUGCAGUGGUGUUGGUUGGCGAGGCUCGGCAGCCGCGGCGCUGUCGUCGUCGUGUACAUGUAGGUCCUCAACUCCUCAUUUAGUCAUGUGUUCCAUGCGCGGCGCGCGCAUCUCAUCUCCUUGUUCUUUGUUAUUGUUUGCAGCAUCGUAAUUAACAUUUCUUCCUUCAUCCGUCAAUCACCCACCACACACGCAUCAUCCGUCCGUCAUCUUCUCCUCCUCGCUGGCUGAUGAGAUGAUGAUGACAUCUAUAUAUCCAAGAAUAUGCAUGCCGCAUAAUGUGUGUAUCGACAAGAUCACCAUUUUUUGGACGCAUAAUAAUAUACUCUCAUGCACGUGGGUGUGGAUCGGCGUAUGAGAUUAUUGUCGGUCGAUUCCUGGUAAAUUUUAGUCACAUUAAUUCAUGCAUGGAGGGCCUCCCAUAGUCCCAGCUAUAAUGGACGAUACACGUACUGGAUUACUGUAUCGAUCACUGCAUCAUUAUUCUUUUUCUUGAUCCCAGUGUUCGUGACUUCGCUGUUUGGUUUUGUUUGGUGAAGUUUACCGUGUGCCACAUCGAAUAUUUAGACACGUGUAUGAAGUACUAAAUAUAGACUAUUUACGAAACUAAAAACACAACUAGAGAGAAAUUUAUGAGACGAAUCUUUUAAGCCUAAUUAGCUCAUGACUGAACAAUAAUUUUUAAAUAAGAUAAAAAUACUAUAAUAUCCGUUAAACUUUAACACCCCCUAACCAAGCACCCUCAAAGAGUGCCUUUCACGGUGUCAUCAUCAGAGAAAUAGUCAUCACGAGGCAUGUUGGAUUAUUUGAACUACUUGAAAUAGUGUUAUUUUUUAUAAUGUGUUAUUUUUUAUAAUGGUCAGAAAAGCAUUGGACUUUGGAAAAGAAACUUCAAAGAUGAACUUUACAUUGUGUGUACCAAAGCCAAAGCAACAAGCAGAAGCACCUUAACCAGUUUAUGGAGAGAUAGUUUUACUUAGUUAUUUCCUUGUUUUUGCUUUGGGCCUAGUUGCCUUGUACUUGCUCUUUGUACACAACAUUCUCUUGGGCAUCUUGAUCCUUUCAGAACGUAUCCCAUGUUCUAGUUUCUAAUUUUUGUGAAGGAAACAAGGAACUGAAACAUACAAUGUAUCAACUUUUUUUUUUGAAGGAAACGAGGAACUGAAACGUUUCGGAUUCAAGCAGCUGAACACUAUUUGGAGCUAUUUCUAGUGAAUCACAUGAGAGACGGAUCCGAUUCUAACAUCCAAACACAAUGCAGUGCAAGCAGUUACUUACAAUCUUACAGGCCUAAUCUGUAUGUAUUCAUCUCAAUCUAUAUGUGUUGAAGUGGAUUUGAAUGAAAUUCUACUCCAAUCCACUUCAAUACAUGUGAAUUGAAGUGGAUACACAUGCACCUAAAUAAGACCUUAAAAGGAACCAUAUAUCUCGUCCCAUCUUGGAUGAUUCCUCCAUGCAAACAAGCACAAAAGAUAGCAACCGAUCAAUACUUCCUACGAGCAUCAAUCUGUUCUAACUUAUGCAGUGCAUUGACCAAUGACCAACACCAACAGAGAUGAAAGAACAGAUGAGCUGAAUAUGCAGGCGCCCAACUACGGGUCACCGCUAGUGGUGAGCAGGAAAGUUGCUGGGGCAUUUAAGCUGUAUGUGACAUGCCUAUUAUCAUCGCUCAUAGUGUUGUUUGGUCGUGCCUGUCUGAAAAAAGAAGGAAUAGAGAGAAAAGACAAUCAUUGCACACAACAUUGGCGAAAUGGACCCAAAUGUGCUGGAUAAAAGACAAUAAUGACAUCUUCAAUAUAAUUACGAUGAAGGUCAAAGAUUGAAAAUAGGGAUGUGCAUAUGCAUGUAGGAAUGUGUUAGAUUUAAUGUGGACUUGUCCAAUAUUUUAAUUAAUUAGAUCGAAUAAAAUCCUAAAAUCUAGAUUAAAUAUUGCGUGCAUUAUAUGAUUUAGUCCUAUAUGGGAUUAUAGUUGAAUGUUAACUUGAUUUAUAUGUGUGGAUUGUGUUUGCCUACAUUGAUAUUGAGAAGUUGAGAAAAGAUGAAGGCGUGCCACACGCACGCAACUGUCAUUGCCGAGCUGAGCCCGACUCGAUGUGGUAUUAUAGUUGGUUUUGCCACUCAAGCCGGUUAAUGACACGAGUUGGAAGUUUUAGGAGUUUCCGCUUAUAAGGACAGCUGCUCAUGAUAACAGAAGUCGUGAGCAUCUCUUCUCUAUCUCUUGCAGCAGCAGCAGCAACAACAACAACAACAACAACAACAACAACAACAACAACAACAACAACAACAACACCACCACCACCACCACCAACAACAACAACAACAACAACAACACUACAAAAAAAAAAGAGAAAGAAGGGUCAGAUACGGUGAAAUGGACAACAUAUAGGGCACCGAAACAUGUGAUUUCGCGAAUCGAGCCGUCAUCAAGAGAGGAGGCGGCCAUGGCAAGCAUACCUGCUUAGGGUUUGGCCCGAGGCGAGCGACGGAGCGAGGCGAAAAGGGAAUUGAAACGGCGGCGCCGGGUGUUUAUAUAUGAGCGGGGAGCGGUGUCGAAGCAAAACCCUAGAACGAGCUCCCGAUGGAUGACGCGUGUUAAUCUUGGAACCGUCGGAUGUGCGGAUUCGGACGUUUUGGGCCAUUGGGCCUCUUCCAGAUGUAUGUGGGCCAUAUUUGUGGCUUUGCCACUGAUCAGGGCUUCCAAUAGUGACAUAAGGAAAAUGUGUUAUAGUCGAAUUUUCCUCAUAUAGAACUUUAAAAUCAAACAUUUUAACCUCUAAACUUUCAAGACUAUUCAAAUUACCUCCUGUGUUGAAGUGGAUUUGAACGUGGUUUCAUUCUAUUUUUCUUAAUAAAAUCCAAUAAACGUUUUUAAAAAAAUAUAGACUUGGCUCUACAAAAAUGGGGGAGGGGGUAUCCAAAAAAUCUAGUAAAUUCUAACAUCAUUAUGAUUGAUAUAUAAAGAGGCUUUAAAAACUUUAUAUGACAAAAAUAUAAGAUGUAAUUAGCAUGAAUGCAACAUAUUUUAAUGUUGAAUGCAUGUAUGCUUUGCACUUGCGAUGGUUUUGUCUUAUGUUUCUUGUUGUGGAAAGUUUCAAAAAUGCAUUUAUACAUCGGUUACAAUGAUUUGGGAAUUUUCCGUAUUUUUAGAUUUAUAUAUUUCUGUUUUCCUAGAGCUAAAAUCUAUUUCUUGGAAGAUGCUACAUAUAUGAGUUCUAAAUAUUUUAUUAGAAUUUGUUGUAUACUAAUUUAUACCUAUAAUUUUUAUCGGAAUUUUUAGAAACUUAAGGACAUUUUUCCAUGUUUAAAUAUAGGGUUUGUAAAAACACAACAACAAAUGUGCGUGAUCCUGAUAGGUAAAAUAGGAAAAGAAGCGUAAACAAAAUACAAUGACUGAUGUAAGUUAUUGUUUGAUUUGAUUAGCUGGAUGCAGCAAAUUCAUUUUAUAUAUAGAGAGGUGUGAGUUUCCCUAUGGAUUUCGAUCAUGUCCGGCUGCUUUACCAUGUCUAAGUCCUUGUUUUUUAAACUUCGAUUAAUAACAUGUUGUUUACAUAUAUAAUAUAAAUAAUAUAAUAAAAAAGACAGCAUUUUGCUUCCACAUUUAUGGAGAGAAAGAGCGAUUUUGGGUCGUGGAAAAUAUCUGAGUUCCGAACUGGAGUUUGCAGAAAAGAUAAAAAGAACUUGAUUCUUUUUUUGCUAAACCAACACUUUUAAGAAUCAGACUACGUAUUAUCGCUAGACAUGUUGUUUUACAUACCUCAGUACAUAUAGUUGUAGAUUAGAAUUCCUAUUCAAGUUAUUUAUGAUCAGAGUUCUAUUAGAAUUAGGAUUUCUAACUACGUAAGUUACCUCAUCUAUACCUAUAUAUAUAUAUAUAUAUAUAUAUAUAUAUAUAUAGAGGCAAAAUUUCAGCCUCUUUUUUGGUUGGAUUUUUUUUCGUCUGGCCAGAUUCUUAUAUGCACUCGCGUUCCAUCGCUGCCAGCGCACUUGUUGCCUCACGCCCGCUCCCGUCCCUGGCUCAUCCCCCAGCCGGCGGAGCCUAGGCGAGGAUGGGAACAGCGCGCUCGCUCAGGCAGGCGGGCCAUCGACGCUUGCCCCGGCGGCGGCCCAUCCUGCUGCGCUCGAGGAGGCCCAGGCGGUGCAUCUUAAGGAGGACGCUGUCAGAAACGCGGAGGCGCGCAAUGACGAGCAGAUCCUCGAGAACAGCGUUGUAGUGCGCCGUGUCGAUCUCGGCGGCGGCGGCGGCGGAGCCCCAUGGCACGGCAACAGUAAGGAAGAUCAAGGUGCUACAACGGCAACGACGUCCAGCUUUGUUGGUCGUGGCAGCAACAGCAAGACGGCAGCCCAAUCACCUUGGUCACGGCGACAACUUUGUUUCUUCCCCAAUCACCUACACUUAAUUUGUUUGCCAAUCUCUUGCUAUAGAGUUCUUCCUAAUCGUUAGAAGAUGUUUCCGUUUCUUCCCCAAUCAUCUGCUGCUAUAUAAUUUCAUAGUGUGUGGCCAGAAUAUGCAAAGCUUUUGACUCCUGGAUAAAUAGAUAGAUAAACUGGUCAGAAUAUGGAUUGCAAUGACCUGCUGAAUAAGUUCAAUUGCUAAUUUCCCUAUAACUAAGUGCAUUUUUGUUUGCUCAAACCGUGCUGCAAGAAAAAAUAUGGGACCUACAUUCUAUUAUCAAUAAGUACUCUCUGUUAUGAACCUAACAUCAGAAAUCAUGAAUUGCUGCUGUCAUUUGAUAAUUUUCAGUUUACCAAACCAAGUACUACCUUGUUUUUCAGAUUCUGAAAAUAGAGAGCAUGCAUGUGUAACGGUUGUGUCAACUUACUUUGAAUUAUGUAUCCACUAUGUGGUUUCUAUUAGGCAUGAUAGGCAUUCAAGAAUCUAAUAGGUUUCUGUUAGGCAUGAAAAUUAGACAAACUGCUAAAGUGUUUUAGAGAAGUAGAGCAGUCUUGAAUUGUUCCUACUGAAAGCACUAUGACUUUGAUGUUGCUUGGUAGUGUUCAUUUUCAUAUAACUAGGCAACUGAAUUAGCAGUAUGUAACUUAUGUGCAUCAUUUUGAAACUUAAUGGCUUUGUGAACUAUUUUUUGUAGGGAUAAAGAUUAUGUGCCCAUAAACUGUUUCAUGUGGUGUUCAUAUGCUGAACUGGAUGUAAACCUUGACAAAGUGGUGUUCAUAUUGUGGUCACUAAAUUGAGAUGAUUAUCAACUGUUAUGCUUCACCUGAACUGUACACUGUGUCUAUAACAAAUCGAUGAAUGGACGACACCUACUCACGAUCUUAAGAUGUUCACGUUGCUGGCCCUAGAGCUGGAGGAAUUUACGGUCUCCAAUCAGCCAUAUUUGAAGGUUUAUUCUGGUGGAGACCUGUCGUGUGUGGCGAACCUCAAGAUUGGCCCGUGGUCACACAUGCAUGGCUACUCUGAUUACGAUGACAUGAACACUAAGCUUUUACCUCAUUCAGCGUUGCAGGUUCACCCGAUGUGCCUUGUUGAGCGUCUUGAAAUUCCACAGGUACGUGUAUACAUGCAUGAUAACAUAUGUCAUGAUAGUGGCCUACAAACUCGUCGCAAACUAAUAAAACACUACAAGGGACGAACCAAAUGUAAACCAGCCCGGCCAUAUAAAUCUCAGUUUGAUUGUCCUUUAGAGAGGGCGGUCAGGUUCUUUGAUGCCUCAUCUGUCACAUACUCAUAUUUGAACCAUUGAUCCACCCAUAAGAAAUAAAGAUUUCUACUGCUAAAUUGUGAUGUAAUUUUGAUUAGAAAUUUUAUUAAAAGCUAGAUUAGCUAAAGGUUCAACUGAUAAAAUCCACCCAUAAGAAAUAAAGAUUUCUACUGCUAAAUUGUGGAUGUAAUUUUGAUUAGAAAUUUUAUUAAAAGCUGGAUUAGCUAAAGGUUCAACUGAUAAAAAAUAUGAAUUGAAAUAUUAAGUAGGUUUUUGUCUAAUCCAAUUUAAAUAAAUGUAUAUCUGGAAUCUCCUGAUAAGGACUAGCAUGUGAAAAAUCUAGAGAGGUCUUCUGUCAUAAUCACCAGAGGACAGAUCAAUCCUUGACAUGUUUGCAUAACUCCUUGUCGACAUUAAUCAUAGAUCAAAUACGUAUAUUUGUGGGUCCUAAAAGAUCACAAAACUCGAUAUUUUAACUAAAGGAACACAUGAAUAGUAUAAAAAUUAAUUAAAGUUAUUGUUUAUUGCAUCUAAAUAUUUAUGCGCUUUGCAAUAGGAGAAAAAUCCAUCAAAAAUAUAUUUUAAUUUGAUAGAGGCUUAGUAUUGUCAUAUUGUCGCUGACAUUAACUUAUAUUAUGGAUGUCAUGGUCAUAACAAAAUAAAUUAUAGCCUUCAAGUUUUAUGGAGUGAAACAUAAAUAAUAUAUAUAUCGGUCCUAUCGUCGUUUUUAUGAACAUGUUAGUUUUUUUUCUCCCGUCGCAACGCACGGGCAUGUUUUGCUAGUAUCAUAUAAAAUAGGAAUAGCUCUAGGCUGAUACAAAAUAGGAGGGAUCUAGAAUAGAUAUAGAUAUGAUGAAAAAGAAUAAAGCUGACCGGUUAAACUCCAAUCCGGAGCAUCUAAUAUGUAAACUGAUGGCCUCAAGCGGAGAGCCCGCUCCUCGCCGGCUUGCCUCUCCUCUGUUGAGACAGUGGUUGUUUGUGGCGUAGUUGAGGAGAGAAGAUGAGGUCGAGGAGGUAACGCUGAGGGAGGUGAAGGCAGCACGUCUUGUGCUCGCGCCGAGCUUGGCCCGUGUGAAGCGAGAGAGGAUUCUAUGAUGCAGCAUCUUAGAUGCUUUAAUCACCCGUGCGAGCCGGCCUCCUAAGAGCAACUCCAGCAGUGGCACCUAAAUCAGGGCCUCUACUUUUGAUUUGGGUGCUGCCUCCUAUUUUUAUUGGCUCAUAUUUUUGAUUCUACUCCAACAACGCCCCCCAAAUUGAGGCCCUCAAACCUAUUUCGCCAGACAAUGACAAAUGGGACCUGUUUGUCAUUGUCUCUUCUUCCUUUGUACAUGGAGCUCGCCGGAGAUGGAUUCGACUGGAGCUUGUGCUCGAGCUUGAGGGGCGUCGCGUCCGCACGGCGGAGUAGGGUCUCGCACGGCAGGGGGCAGCGCAACCACACGGCAAGGGGCGUCGCGCCCGCGCGGCGGAGCAGGGCUCCAGCAGUGGGGCAGCGCGAUUGCGGGCGAGGGACAGUGCGCCCGUGCCGUGGAGCACGAGCUCACACGUCGGGGGGCGCCUACACCGAGGGAGAAGAGCUCGCGCCGAGGAGGGAGUGGCGCACAGGGAGCCCACGCGGCGGAGAGCGGCAGGGUCGCCGGUGAUGUCGUGGGGAAGAGAGCUCACCAGCCGAGGAAGGUGGGCCGCCGCGCCAGACGUGAGGCGGAUAGCCGCGCUCAUCGGAUGGGAGGGAGACGCGCCCGAGCAGAGAAGACCGUACGACGCGGGGCUGAACGAGCAGAUGGGGGCCGGUUUGUUGGGCCAACAGGAAUUGGGGCUGCAGAGAGGAUUUGGGGUCCCAACUAAAUAUAUUGGAGCUGCAGGGAGGAUUUGGGGUCCCAACUAAAUAUGAAGUCUUGAGUAGAGAUCCUGCUGGAGUAUGAUUUUUGACCUGAGCAUCCAUAUUUAGCUAUUAAAGCUUAAAUAGGGACUCUGCUGGAGUUGCUCUAACUGCGUCUAGUCAAAGAAGGCAGGUUGCAGUUGCAACCGGCACGGUGGCCCGAGUGGGCCAGCGAAACAAACGCACCCUAAAAAGUCAAGAGCAUGCGCCUUGUUCAUUUAGGUUUAUAAACCGAAUAUGUCAGCGAUUGAUUCAGCAGUGUUUUUCUUUUAAAAAAAAAUUCUUAAAAAAUCAGCUAAAAAUACUUUCUGCCAUGGCUAUCAGCUCUUUAAAAAUGUUUGGAAAAAAACAUAUCUUUAAUUUUCUUUUUACAAUGCAUGAACACAACGUUAUGCAGCCAAGGACAUUUAACUAUCGCUACUAAGGUCUUAUUAUUUAGAUGCACCCAAGGUUCAAAAAAUUUAUAAAAUUUACCAUCACAUCGAAUCAAUAAAUAUAGAUAAAAAAUAACUAACUAUAACUUGUGAGACGAAUCUUGUAAGCCUAAUUAGUUUAUAGUUAAUCAAUAAUUGUCAAAUACAAGCGAAAGUGCUAUAAUAUCAAACUUCAAAAACUUAUGUAUGCAUGGAUAUUUAUGAAUGCAUUAAUUAUUAGAAAUGGUGAUCAAUCUCCCCGAGGGCGGAGCAGCCAUGGUGGAAACUCAUGCUACCAUGAAAUUAGAAAAGAAAUGAGUUAUAAGACGCAUGUUAUAUUGAGCCUCAAGCAAUAUAUAUAGAGAGAGAAUACAAAGGCUUUAGUACCACUCCAAUAUCCUGCCAACCAAACAUACUCUAACAAGAGUUUUAGUUCAAGACAACCUCGGUUCAAAAUCCUAGCAUCAUAAUUCAUAAACAGCAGACUUCACAAAGAUCGAGCAGGCUUAGAACACCCUGUAUGGUUUCCCCAUGGUGCUCUUGACGUAAAGGCAUCUCACCUGCAUAAGCAUAUAUCACAACAUGUUAUAACCAAGUCCUUCAGAUUAUAUUCUAAAAAAUGUUCGUUAGAUGUAAAACAAAACAGGUACAAUUAUUAAGGUAAAGAUGCAACAGUGACUAGAGCAUCACUCACAUUCUGCCAGUUCUUCUUCAGGAGGGACACAAGGAAGUUCACACUCAUUUGGAUGUUCUGCUGGAUCUGCUUCUCCUCCAUGGACAAGUUACCGACGGCGACACCCAUGCAGAGGACCUUCUUCAGCUGAAACUUGACAGUAGCCUUCGUCUCAUUCACCUUGGAUUCCAGGGACUCCUGGUGAGUAACAAGCGUAGGGAACUUGCCUGCAGUAGUGAUAUCAACAUGAUUCAAUCAGAAGGGCAGGAAAUGCAGACCAUAUCUAGCAAAAGCUCUCAGAUGCAUAGCUCCCAGAGUUUGAAAAUGUCAAAUAGCAACACUAAUAAAACAUUUUAAUAUUAACACAUUGCUUUGAGAAUGUCAAAAAGAAACAGUAAUAAAACAUUUUAAUAUUAACACAAUGACAGGACAUUGGCUUUCAACAAGUACUAAGUAAUUAAGUCAUUAUCAAUCUUUGCAGGUAAGACUAACAUAUAGGAGGAACGCUAAUGCAUACCAUAAACGAAUGAAAACAGAAAAAUCAUGCAAAACUACGCACAGAAAUAUGAAACAGCACUGCAUGUUACAAGCUUAGAAUGCAAAUAACAAUUAUGUCAGAAAUGGACUACUUGCCUGCCUUGUUAAGACCAGGACCAAGGAGACGGGGAAUCUGCUUGAUGAUGGCCUCUGAUGCCAAAAACGCAUGGUACUUCUUGGCAAGCUUCUUAACAAGCUUCUUGUUCUUGUUCAUUUUCUUGAGGGACUCAACAUCCAUGUAGUCAAGUCCCAUCUUCUCAGCCUGGAAAUGAAGUAAAAUGGUUUAUGUCAGGAAGAGUUGAUCCAAGGGCAAUUAUACUAUCUGAGCACUCACUCAAACUUCCGUACAGUUGAGCAGGAUUUGUACAUACAGAUUUUAAUGCAAAUGAAAUCAAGCGCAAGAUUGGACUGAGUCAUACAUGCCAGGCGAAAUUGAGUAAUUCAAAACAUUGGCGUUUUUUCUGUUCAACAAACUACUAGUGUACUACUGUAAGCAUGUUCAAUAUAUAAAUAAGUAGAUUUUCAAGCACACCAGCAACUGCCUGCUUACCUCCUCAACGUGCUGGGCAUCACCAAGCAUGCACACCUUCAUCUUUGGACGAGGGAUGUGGGGCAACUUAACAGAGCCACUGAAACGCUUGUCCUUCUGUGGAUCAUAAUUCUUCAGACCAAUCUGAAGCUCAACAGUCUCGGUGAACUUCCUAUUCUUCUCCUUGGCAUCCCCAACAAUCUGAGAGAUGGCAUCCUUGAGAACCUCGGACUGCAACUUACUGCAUUAAUAUCAGUGCACAGAAUUUAUUAGACAAAGAUAAUCUAUCUGGUUGGGAACAAUACUAGGGAGAAUUGUAGAAGGCAAAAACUGCAGAAUAAUCAAUCAUAAUAAGCAAACUAAGUGAAUCUAUAUCAUGUGUUGAGACAACAACCUGAAUCUAUCUCACAUCCAUUUUCAUUAUGUAAAUUGUGAACGAACUAACUGGAGCCAACACCCAAAGAAUCAGAUUGGACUUAGGCCUGCUAACGGGGUCUAACCUCAACCCAACCCAUAGCCUAUGAGUCAACUGGUCUAGACAACAACCUGAAUCUAUCUCAAAUCCAUUUUCAUUAUGUGAAUGAACUAACAGCUGGACCCGACUUUCAAAGAAUCAGAUUGGAAUAGGACUGCUAAUGGGGUCUAACCCCACCCCAACCCACAGCCAAUGAGUCAACCUGUUAUGUCCAACCCUACCCAAAAAUCUAAAUCAAGCACCCACCCCAACCUGCUCCGCAACACCCACCCGCCAUUUAACCCAUGGAGCAUGCUAACUGAUGCUCUCUGGUUGCUGAAAGAUCCAUCCCCAGGCUGUUCUAAAUCAUGGAGAAAACUAAUCCAGAUGAACAAAAAUAUAAAUUUCCAAGCAAGGCAUCCAAAAUCCAUCCUCUGAUAACACACAGCAGCGAUUUUAGAUGGUAGGAUACAAAUUUUUACUUUCACACAGUUUAUUGAAAAAAUUUGUUUCUUCAGAAAACAAGAGAAACUGUCACAGAAAAGCCAAACUGGAUGGCCAUUAGCAACGGCCAGCCAGCAUUAAAUCCUGCAUUUAUCUUGUUGUAGAAAAGAGCUCGAGAGCUGUGGUGGAAACCAUGUGAUCACAUCCAUAUCACAGUCACACCUCAUUUCCAAAUCAAUCACUAUUCCAGGAAAAAAAGAGCAAUGCAGCAGAAAAAAAAGAACCGCUGCAGAGAUAGGUUAGACAAAUCGCUGAUGAAAGGGCACAGGAUGAGGGCUUGAUGGCAGUACUCCUCGCCUUCCAUGCAAGCUGCCAGCGGCAGCGUAUGGGAGGAGACGACUGACAAGAACAUCCUCUCCUGCACAGAGGCGUGCUCCUCCUACCGCCCUCCUCUACAGUGUAGUGGCCCUCCAGCAGAGGACUGCCCACACUAGGCUCCGUGGGGGGCUGGUGCCACACCAGUAAUGCCACAGCUCAGCCUCGCCGCCGCCCACUUGAGCAGCAACACGGCCCCACCCCUGGCUCCCCACAGACACAGUAGGGGCUGACAAAACCCACUUACUGACCCGCCCCAACUCGCGUUUCUUGUAAACCCAACCCGUCCCGAUCCACGACAUAGUAAAACAAGUUUCCACUCAUUUACCCACAGCACAUAUUAGAACCCAUACCAAAAAAAGGGUUAAUGCCGCCCCGUUAGCAGGUCUAGAUUGGAAAGACCACGGCUACAUCAAGCAUAAUAAACUAAUCAAAGCAUGAUACAAGGGGGCUCCUAGAUUUCUUAUCAUCCUUAAUAUAGCUUAUGAUAAUCAAAUGAAACACAACUCAAAUACCUAAGGCAUUGAUCUCCUAAAGGCAAGAUUGAAGAUCCCCUGUAGGACCAAAUCCUACCAUGGCAAUCGACGAGACAACUACAUAUCACUCAAAUCCUACACGAAAUCGGCAUUUCUACCGUACGAACCGAUGCACGACACAGCAGAUGCAACGAGAAGGGGAAAUCAGUAGUACCUCAUGGCUGCAACCGUUCACUCGACUCCCUGUAGAAGGAACAACAAAAAAACAGAGAGGGGUCAGAUACGGUGAAACGGACAACAGAUAGGGCACCGAAACAUGCGACUUCGCGAAUCGAGCCGUCAGCAAGAGAGGAGGCUGCCAUGGCACUGGAAGCAUACCUGCUAGGGUUUGGCCCGAGGCGAGCGACGGAGCGAGAGGGAAGGGACGGCGGCGCCGGGUGUUUAUAUACGAGCGGGGAGCGGUGUCGAAGCAAAACCCUAGAACGAGCUCCCGAUGGAUGACGCGUGUUAAUCUUGAGACCGCCAGAUGCGGGUACGGACGUUAUGGCCAUUGGGCCUCUUCAGGAUAUAUGUGGGCUAUGUUUGUGGCUUCGUCACUGUUCAUGGGCUUCAAUUGCGAUCACGUAAGGAAAAACUAUUUAAGGCCUUGUUUACUUUUAAAAAAAAAAAUCAAGAUUUCUCGUCACAUCAAAUCUUAAGACAUAUGCGUGGAGUAUUAAAUAUAGAUGAAAAUAAAAAUUAAUUACACAGUUUGCCUGUAAAUUGUGAGAUUAAUCUUUUGAGUUUAAUUAGUCCAUAAUUGAAUAAUAUUUGUCAAAUAAAAACGAAAGUGCUACACUACUCAAAAACACAAAAUUUGGGAACUGAACAAGGCCUAAGCUAUUUCUGCUAAAAAACUCUUAACCUAUCGUUGGCUCAAAAAAACUCUUAAGCUAUCGUCAUAGUUGGAUUUUCUUUCUAGAACUUUAAAAUUUUUAUAGGCAUUUCAUAUCCUCUAAACUCCCAAUACCAUUCAAAUUACCUCUUGCCAUGGAUUGAAGUGGUUUUGAAUGUGGUUUCAUCCAUUAUUAAUAAAAAUCCAGUAAAUACUUGAUUAUUUUUUAAACCAUAAACAUUGUCUUAAAAAUUCUAAAAACAUCUAAGAAAAUCCUAGAUAUAUAUUGGAUGUAAAAAAAUCCAAAUAAAAUAUUUAUACAUUGUCAAAAUAUCUCUAGAAAUUUUUAAUUUAACUCUAUAAAAAUGGGGAAAUAUCAAAAACUAGAAAAUUCUGGAAACAUGAUGAUUGGUAUAUAAAUGGGCUAUGACAAAAACAUGAGAUGCAAUCGACAUGAAUAUGACAUAUAUUAAUGUAAAAUGCAUUUAUGCUAUGCACUUUGUAAUGGUUGUGUGUUGUUUUUUUAGAAAGUUUUCAAAAUACAAUAAGACAUCAAUUAUAAUGAUUUGUGUUUUUUCUAUAUUUUUGGAUAUAUUUUUAUUUUCCUAGAAGUAAAUCUAUUUUUGGAAGCUGCUAAAUAUACGAGCGAGUUUUUUUUUUUUUUGAAAUUGUUGCAUUUAAAUUUAUGCCUAGGUUCGAAAAAACGCUUCUUUGUUUCAGGGUUAAGACGCUUCCUUCUAGAACAAAGCAAUGUGAAACAUGGUCUAUGGUAGAUAUAUCCACGAGUGGUGUCAAAGAGAGCACGAGCAAAUGAGGCCAUUUAAUCCUAAAAGAAGCCAGACUAGUAGAGAUGUACCCCAUCCAUCCCAAAUCAUAAAGUCAUUCCAACUAUCU